rnacentral:lncRNA from 1 species
GGAGUGGGGGAUCCGGGGGAGACGAAGGUGAAGGAGCUGCGGGGCUAGUUCUGAGCCGGGAAAAGAUGGAGUGAAGGUACCUGAGCGCAGGAACCAUGGUCUUCAUUGCUGCCUCAGCAUUAGCGGAAGUGCCACGGGCCGGCUCCCAGGGGGCCAGAGUUUCCCAGGAACACCAUUGAGUACCACUGAACUAGAGUCUGCAAGUUAAAAGAGAACUUACUUGAAGGUCGAUGUUUUCUCUUGCUGAUUCCAUCUCGCUGCCCUCAAGUCCCUUCACACGCACCGGGUGCCGGGAACAGACUGCGUGGGCUCCUCCAGGCUCCGCCGUCUGAGUCUCUGCUGCUUUCUUCGGGUGGGAGAGAGCACACAGCUGGCGGGACAGACCUGCCAUUCAUCCCUCUGAUGUGGGAUGCCCGUCUUGGCUGCAGCCUCUGGGGGAGGUGUGCACCUGCACACACGUGUGAGUGUAUGUGUGUGCACAUGUGUGUGCUCCAGGAGGUGGCACAUGGCACACUGAUAGGUGACCUUUUGAGUUGGUAGUGACAGCAUCAUUUUCACCAGUGGCUCCAGUGACCUUCCAGUCCCAGCGGAGCCAUCUGAGGUCACCCAGCCUGCUUUGAGCUAGUAGCUUUAUGACUGGCAAAGAAAUCCUGCAUGUUUAUCAAGCAAAUUGAAAAACAGCCUGAGGACAACGCUAUCUGACUUCACCGCUGGGUCCAGUCCCCAGUCGCCACGGGUGGAGUGACCUCCAGCACAGUCUCAAUACUGAGGCAGAGGGAUUUCCGUUGUUCUUUGCUUUGUUCCCUAUAUCCCUAAAAGUUUUUAAAAAAAUUGUAGUUUACCUAAUAGGCUCCAAAGCAUAGGCUUUGUUCUGCAAAGUGAGUGAACAAUACGUUUUUACUGACGGAUUGUUUGAUUCCUUCAACUCCUCCCUUGAUUAGCCAUAGAGGGAGCAGGGAGUAGUUGUACCUUCGAAGCUUGUUUAUGCAAACAGUGGUAUUCUCCCUACUUUUAAAAUAAAAUUACCAGGAGGGA